rnacentral:rRNA from 1 species
CAUUUGACGUUAGCUGCAGAAGAAGCACCGGCUAACUCCGUGCCAGCAGCCGCGGUAAUACGGAGGGUGCGAGCGUUAAUCGGAAUUACUGGGGCGUAAAGCGCAUGCAGGUGGUUUGUUAAGUCAGAUGUGAAAGCCCCGGGGCUCAACCUCGGAAUUGCAUUUGAAACUGGCAAACUAGAGUACUGUAGAGGGGGGUAGGAAUUUCAGGUGUAGCGGUGAAAUGCGUAGAGAUCUGAAGGAAUACCGGUGGCGAAGGCGGCCCCCCUGGACAGAUACUGACACUCAGAUGCGAAAGCGUGGGGAGCAAACAGGAUUAGAUACCCUCGGUAG